rnacentral:rRNA from 1 species
AGAUUGAACGCUGGCGGCAUGCCUUACACAUGCAAGUCGAACGGCAGCACGGGAGCAAUCCUGGUGGCGAGUGGCGAACGGGUGAGUAAUAUAUCGGAACGUGCCCAGUCGUGGGGGAUAACGCAGCGAAAGCUGUG